CGUAAACAGAGGGAAGCGAGCCCGCGAGGGGGAGCGAAUCCCAAAAAUAACGUCCCAGUUCGGAUUGUAGUCUGCAACCCGACUACAUGAAGCUGGAAUCGCUAGUAAUCGCGGAUCAGAAUGCCGCGGUGAAUACGUUCCCGGGUCUUGUACACACCGCCCGUCACACCAUGGGAGUCGGAAAUGCCCGAAGUCUGUGACCCAACCGUAAGGAGGGAGCAGCCGAAGGCAGGUCGGAUGACUGGGGUGAAGUCGUAACAAGGUAGC
rnacentral:rRNA from 1 species